CGAUGAUCAAUGUUUCAAUGAGUCUAGACGUUCAUGAGUAACACAGACUUGAGCUAAUUGUUUUGAGGAUGGAAACUUCUGUAAGUUACGUUUUGGAAAGAAGAGGUGUGGAAAGAAUGAAAAUGUAGUCAGGGGUGGCAUAACUUGCAGGACUGGUAUGCUGCAAGUGUCUUUGUUUUGGCAUGUUUAUUUUCUCUAACUUUGCCCUAACCCUAACCUUAACCACCCGCUAGCAUGCUUACACCAAACCCUAGUCUCACGUGGCUAUCUUUUACAAAUCUCGGGACAACCCUUGCGUUUGAUUGCGAGCUAGAUUGUUGCAAGUCAGAAUUGUUUUCAGAAACACCGCUUCUGUUUGCACCUCCACCCAUGAUACAUAUCUGAUUGGUUUGAUAGGUGGCAACGGGUCACUAACCCUUUUGACUAUCUUUCUGCCAACAAAUGGGUGUCAGAGGCUACCCCAACCCAUAACCACUCGCUAGCAUACUCAACUUAACCUCUCGUGCAUGCAUGUAAAUUACGAAUCACACAAUGUUUAAGUUUCUUGUGAGAUGAAAUUGCUUCAGAAUCACGGAGUGCCUUUAGAUUUCAGUUGCUGAAUAGGAUAGAAUAGAAAUAGAAUAAAAUCGAGAAGACUAGAAUGGAAUGGAAUAUAAAAGAAUAGGGGUAUUACCCUUUGCUUUCUCUUCUUUGGCAGGCUUCUUCUCAACAGAUUUUUCUAUAUUAGAAAGGGAUACCAAUAAAACAAUUGUUAUGUGUUUCUGAAAAUCUUCUAAACAUUUUUGUGCCAUUAACCAGGUUUCCAUCCAACCUUUUUAUGUUAGUAAAGUACAAAGUACAAAAUGUCACGACAGAGCUGAUGUAAACAGCAAAUUUGUUGGUAAAAUUGGUUGGCAAACUGUCGACAAAACAAAAUACGUUAGACAAGGUGGGAUCUUUUUGAGUAUGUAAAAUGAAUUAUGUGAGAAAUAGCAGUGGAAACGUCUUUAUGCGCAAAUAUUGAUAUAAUAACCAUCAUAUUAAAGUUGGAGUCACGUGAUGAUAUCUUGUGAUACCACUACAACUACAAACAUUUUUAAAGUGGCAUUAUUAAAGUAACUAGUGUUCCAUUUAUUAAAGUGGCCAAUGAUUUCAAGUCUGAAUGUAGGCAGCAGCCUCUCUGUGCUAGUGAUGGCUGUUUAACAGUCUGAUGGCCUUGAGUCUAUCGGUCCCAGCUUUGAUGCACCUGUACUGACCUCGCCUUGUGGAUGGUAGCUGGGUGAACAGGCACUGGCUCGGGUGGUUGUUGCCCUUGAUGAUCUUUUUGGCCUUCCUGUGACAUCGGGUGCUGUAGGUGUCCUGGAGGGCAGGUAGUUUGCCCCCAGUGAUGCGUUGUGCAGACCGCACCACCCUCUGGGGAGUCCUGUGGUUGUGGGUGGUGCAGUGGCCGUACCAGGCAGAGAUACAGCCCGACAGGAUGCUCUCAAUUGUGCAUCUGUAAAUGUUUGUGAGGGUUUUUGGUGACAAGCCAAAUUACUUCAGCUUCCUGAGGUUGAAGACGUGCUGUUGCGCUGUCUUCACCACACUGUCUGUGUGGGUGGACCAUUUCAGUUUGUCAGUGAUAUGUACGCCGAGGAACGUAAAACUUUCCACAUUCUGUCCCGUCGAUGUGGAUAGGGGGGUGCUCCCUCUGCUGUUUCCUGAAGUCCAUGAUCAUCUCCUUUGUUUUGUUGACAUUGAGUGAGAGGUUAUUUUCCUGACACCACACUCCAAGAGCCCUCACCUCCUCCCUGUAGGCUGUCUCAUCGUUGUUGGUAAUCAAGCCUAGCAUUGUUGUGUUGUCAGCAAACUUGAUGAUUGAGUUGGAGGCGUGCAUGGCCACCCAGUCAUGGAAGAACAGGGAGUACAGGAGGGGGCUGAGCACGCACCCUUGUGGGGCCCCAGUGUUGAGGAUCAGUGAAGUGGAGAUGUUGUUUCCGACCUUCACCACCUGGGGGUGACCCGUCAGGAAAUCCAGGACCCAAUUCCACAGGGCGGGGUUGAGACCCAGGGCCUCGAGCUUAAUAAUGAGCUUAGUGGGUACUAUAGUGUUGAAUGUUGAGCUAUGGGAGAGAUUGAAUAAACACACCAGCCAGCUUGAGGACGAGGCUAGGGAUGACGUCUGGGCCGGCAGCCCUGCGAGGGUUGACACAUUUAAAUGACUUACUCACGUUGGCCAUGAAGAAGGAGAGCCCACAGUCCUUGGUAGAGGGCUGCGUCAAUGGCACUGUAUUAUCCUCGAAACAGGCAAAGAAGGUGUUUAGUUUGUCUGGAAGCAAGACGUCGGUGUCCACAGCAUGGCUGGUUUUCCUUUUGUAGUCUGUGAUUGUAGGUAGAUGCUGCUACAUACGUCUUGUGUCUGAGCCAUUUAAUUGUGACUCCACUUUGUCUCUAUAUUGACAUUUAGCUUGUUUGAUUGCCUUGCGGAGGGAAUGACUACUGUGUUUGUAUUUUGCCAUAUUCCCAGUCGCCUUGCCAUGGUUAAAUGCGGUGGUACGCACUUUUAUUUUGCGCAAAUGCUGCCAUCUGUCUAUGGUUUUUGGUUAGGGUAGGUUUUAAUAGUCCCACUGGGUACAACAGCUCCUAUACACUUAUAAACUCUCCCAGCGUAUCAGCGUAUACGUCAAUAUUAUUCUCUGAGGCUACCUGGAACAUAUCCCAGUCUGCGUGAUCAAAACAAUCUUGAAGCGUGGAUUCCGAUUGGUCAGACCAUUGAAUAGUCCUUAGCACGGGUACUUCCUGUUUGAGUUCCUGCCUAUAGGAAGGGAGGAGCAAAAUGGAGUCGUGGUCAGAUUUGCCGAAAGGAGGGUGGGGGAGGACCUUGUAUGCAUUGCAGGAGUUAGAGUAACAAUAGUUCUGAGUUUUUUCAGCGCAAGUGCUACAGUCGAUAUGCUGAUAGAAUUUAGGUAGCUUUUUUCUCAAAUUUGCUUUGUUACAAUCCCCAGCUACAAUUAAUUCAGACUCAGGAUAUAUGGUUUCCAGUUUGUAUAAAGUCCAGUGAAGUUCCUUGAGUGCCGUUGUGGUAUCGCCUUGAGGGGGGAUAUACAUGGCUGUGACAAUAACCGAAGAUCGUUCUCUUGGAAGAUAAUGCGGUCGGCAUUUUAUUGUGAGGAAUUCUAGGUCAGGUGAACAAAAGGACUUGAGUUCCUGUAUGUUGUUACAAUUACACCAUGAGUCGUUAAUCAUGAAACAUACACCCCUGCCCUUCUUCCCAGAGAGAGGUUUAUUCCUGUCUGCGCGAUGCACUGAGAAUCCAGGUGGCUGUCUUGUAAAAGUGGAAAAUACUCAUUAAACUAAAGUGUGGUGAGCUUUCAGCGCCUGCCGGCUGCAGUAGCAUCACCCAAGUGGGUGCUGCACAAAGUUAUUGGAGUUUGCUGUACGGAAAGGUGGGCAGGACGUCAGAGAUGGUGAAAUAUACAGUACGUCCAGCGGCUCCCGACUUGUCCAUGUCUGACUGACACACUCUCCGAGCAGCUACCGCAGUGCUCUCUCCGCUCAGUGACCAACGAUGCACCCUUCAAUUCACCUUUUAUUUCCCUAAAUCUAGACAUAUACUUAUUUUAAUUUAAUUUUAGUCUGUAUACUGCAAUUAAGCUUUUAGUUGAGAAUGUGAACAAGAUCAAAUAAACCUUACUAUGUAUUUAAUAAAAGCAAUAAUUGAUUACAUUAUAAACCCAUUAUUUUAUUACAGUGAAAGAAAUGUGAAUGACAAUGCAGUAGCUACUAUACCUUUCCUGGCAGGGGUUUCCUUAGUUUCCUUAGAUUCAGGUUCUGCUUAAGAUAAGACAGGGAAAUGAUUGGCAAUACAAAAGCAUGUUUGUCAGUCAUUGCAAAGAGACAACUGAGGUUAAAAAAGAGCACAUAAUACAAUGAGUUGGUUUACUUCAGAAACUGCAAAAUAAACCAAACAGUGAUUCAUGGCUUUAUAGCGAGCAAAAUGUAUUAAAGCACAAACUUCAACUCAAAUUGCACUACCCUGAAAGUAUUCCAAAAAGGCAGUCUAGAAUUGAUCAAACAAGUUGGCUUUGCAACGACAUUCUGGAAUUUCUACAGCUGCCAAACAAUACAUGAAUACCUUUCAUUACAGGGACUGAUUUGGAAGCCUCUGCAUUGACAGGAGAGAACACACUCUAAAGAAAUAGGACUACUCCUCGAUCUUCAGACAUUUCAGACUGUUCAUAAACAGCAUUCAGUAAAGGUGGCGAAUCGCAUCUCUGCAUGUCU
rnacentral:lncRNA from 1 species